CAUGACAGAGGAGGAUGGCAUCGGCAUUUCUCUACAACAGGAGGAAGAGGAGAGAACAGCAGAGUUGAACUGGGCCAUCCGACAGCGGGCAGAAGACAACCGGGAUGCUGAUCUCAAUGUUGACCGGCAGGGGGAGCUCAUGUUGUCCAUUCCCAUCCCAGAGUCUGAGAUGGGACCUGCCAGUAUGCAAGUGUCCCAGAGACUAAGGGAGAGCGAAAAGCAGAGAGACGCUGCCUGGGACUUCCAAUGCAUGGAGCAGACCAGACAUGGCGAAGAGGAGGAGAGGAGAGCAAUGGAGCUGCAGAAGGAGGAGGAUUGAGAUUGACCGAUACGACGAACAGCUGGCCAGAGAGCAGCGCAAACAUCAGCAGUACCUGGCCAAGCAGCUGUACACCAACCGGCCCACGGCCCAGUACUUCACCCAGUUCAGCAGCAGCUGACGCUGAGGGGAUCACCAGCACAGACUCACCACACAAUACUGGAUCUCAAAUUCAGAUGAUAGGCACAACACAACAAGA